UGGGGAAUAUUGCACAAUGGGCGCAAGCCUGAUGCAGCCAUGCCGCGUGUGUGAAGAAGGCCUUCGGGUUGUAAAGCACUUUCAGCGAGGAGGAAGGUGGUGAGCUUAAUACGCUCAUCAAUUGACGUUACUCGCAGAAGAAGCACCGGCUAACUCCGUGCCAGCAGCCGCGGUAAUACGGAGGGUGCAAGCGUUAAUCGGAAUUACUGGGCGUAAAGCGCACGCAGGCGGUUUGUUAAGCCAGAUGUGAAAUCCCCGGCUCAACCUGGGAACUGCAUUUGAAACUGGCAAGCUAGAGUCUCGUAGAGGGGGGUAGAAUUCCAGGUGUAGCGGUGAAAUGCGUAGAGAUCUGGAGGAAUACCGGUGGCGAAGGCGGCCCCCCUGGACGAAGACUGACGCUCAGGUGCGAAAGCGUGGGGCAGCAAACAGGAUUAGAUACCCUGGUAGUCCACGCUGUAAAACGAUGUCGAUUUUGGAGGUUGUGCCCCUUGAGGCGUGGCUUCCGGAGCUAACGCGUUAAA
rnacentral:rRNA from 1 species